rnacentral:misc_RNA from 1 species
GAUGAAGAACGGAGUGAAAUGCGAUAAGUAAUGUGAAUUGCAGAAUUCAGUGAAUCAUCGAAUCUUUGAACGCACAUUGCGCCCGCUAGUAUUCUGGCGGGCAUGCCUGUCCGAGCGUCAUUUCAACCCUCAAGCCCCCGGGCUUGGUGUUGGGGAUCGGCGAGCCUCCGCGCCCGCCGUCCCCUAAAUCUAGUGGCGGUCUCGCUGUAGCUUCCUCUGCGUAGUAGCACACCUCGCACUGGGAAACAGCGCGGCCACGCCGUUAAACCCCCAACUUCUGAACGUUUGACCUCGGAUCAGGUAGGAAUACCCGCUGAACUUAAGCAUAUCAAUAAGCGGAGGA